rnacentral:rRNA from 1 species
AAGACCUUGCGUUUUUGGAGCGGCCGAUGUCUGAUUAGCUAGUUGGUGGGGUAAUGGCCUACCAAGGCUUCGAUCAGUAGCUGGUCUGAGAGGACGGCCAGCCACACUGGGACUGAGACACGGCCCAGACUCCUACGGGAGGCAGCAGUGGGGAAUUUUGGACAAAGGGCGCAAGCCUGAUCCAGCCAUGCCGCGUGAGUGAAGAAGGCCUUCGGGUUGUAAAGCUCUUUCAGCCGAGAAGAAAAGAUUGCGACUAAUAAUCGCAAUUCAUGACGGUACCGGCAGAAGAAGCACCGGCUAACUACGUGCCAGCAGCCGCGGUAAUACGUAGGGUGCGAGCGUUAAUCGGAAUUACUGGGCGUAAAGGGUGCGCAGGCGGUUUUGUAAGUCAGAUGUGAAAUCCCCGGGCUUAACCUGGGAACU